GCCCGUCUAGCUCAGUUGGUAUAGCACAAGGCUCUUAACCUUGUGGCAUGGGUUUGAAUUCCAUGGUGGGCG